UACGUAGGGUGCGAGCGUUGUCCGGAAUUACUGGGCGUAAAGAGCUCGUAGGUGGUUUGUCGCGUUGUUCGUGAAAUUCCCUGGCUUAACUGGGGGCGUGCGGGCGAUACGGGCAGACUGGAGUACUGCAGGGGAGACUGGAAUUCCUGGUGUAGCGGUGGAAUGCGCAGAUAUCAGGAGGAACACCGGUGGCGAAGGCGGGUCUCUGGGCCGUUACUGACGCUGAGGAGCGAAAGCGUGGGGAGCGAACAGG
rnacentral:rRNA from 1 species